UACGUAGGGUGCAAGCGGUAAUCGGAAUUACUGGGCGUAAAGCGUGCGCAGGCGGUUUUGUAAGUCUGUCGUGAAAGCCCCGGGCUCAACCUGGGAAUUGCGAUGGAGACUGCAAGGCUUGAAUCUGGCAGAGGGGGGUAGAAUUCCACGUGUAGCAGUGAAAUGCGUAGAGAUGUGGAGGAACACCGAUGGCGAAGGCAGCCCACUGGGACAAGAUUGACGCUCAUGCACGAAAGCGUGGGGAGCAAACAGG
rnacentral:rRNA from 1 species